UACAGAGGUCCCGAGCGUUGUUCGGAUUCAUUGGGCGUAAAGGGUGCGUAGGCGGUCUUCUAAGUUUGAUGUGAAAUCCCGGGGCUCAACCCUGGAAUUGCAUUGAAUACUGGAGGACUAGAGUACCGGGAGAGGAAACUGGAAUUUACGGUGUAGCAAGUGAAAUGCGUAGAGAUCGUAAGGAAGACCAGUGGCGAAGGCGAGUUUCUGGACGGUAACUGACGCUGAGGCACGAAGGCCAGGGGAGCAAACGGG
rnacentral:rRNA from 1 species